rnacentral:lncRNA from 1 species
UUUUAGUGAUCAGGUCAGAUUUGGAAAACAUGGUCAUGGUUAGGCAAGAGAUUGCACAGGGACCUCCUGUAAUGUUACCUGGGACAUAAGCAUAAGUAAUAUUUCCAAAGGAGAAAGUCCAUCCUUUAGGAUGAUAUACAUUGUAGUGGUAACUCAUAACUUGGUGAGUUUUGGUACAAUUCAUAGUGGUGCUCAGGGCUCUACAAUUUGUGGUAUUUUUCCACCACGUGGGGCAAAACAGUGAUUCAGUAUUAGGGUCUCUUGAACAAUUACAUGAAAAAGACCAACAUAGUUCAGCGCCUGUCACAUUAAUUGUCUACAGGGCUAGAGGAGGCUUGCCUACCAGUGGGUUGAAGGCAUAAUAAUAUAGUUGUAGAGAUUUAUGGGGUCUAUGGGUAUGUAGGUACUUCCUCAGCAGUGAGAUGGGGGUAGGGAUAGCUAUAAGACAAGAUUCUAUAGUGUUUUCAGUACUUAGGAGAAGGUUGAGGCAAAAGGAGGUUAAAUUAAAAGCCUUUGCUAUCUGCAACCAUAUAUUUUCCUGCCAUGCAUUAUUAUUUUCUGGGCUCAAGUCAGGAUAGCAUAUCCGAACACAGCAUAAAAUGGUAAAGGAUAAGAACAGCUUCAUGUCGGUGGAUCAGUCGGAGUGACUUGUUUACAGUGACUGGCGUGUAUCCACGUGGCUUUUCCUUCUAGUUUCACCGAGGUAGCCGUAGUCAAGAGCACUUGGAAUGGACCGUCAAAGCGUGGUUCAAGUCCUUUCCUCACAUGCCUUUUUAUCACCACCCAAUCACCAGGUUGCAGUUUGUGAGUUGCAGAAUAAGAGUCUGGAUUUGGAAUAGAAUCAAAGAGUUGUUUAUGCACCCUGCCUAAUCUUUGGUGUAGGGCCUGAACAUAGGCAGUCAUACUACCAUGCUGCAUUUGGAAGGUUUGGGGAAAAUAGAGGCCUUUCUUUGGGGCACAUCAAAACAGGAUCUCAAAAGGGGAUAGGCCAUGUCUGGAAUUGAGGGUGAAUCUCAUAGAAAAGAGUGCUAGGGGAAGGCAUUCAGUCCAGGGCUUCCCUGUGUCUUGCAUGGCUUUUGCAAUCUUGUUCUUUAAGGUGCCAUUUGCCCUUUAUACUUUCCCACUACUCUGGGGUGAUAGGGGGUGUGGAAGGCCUGACUGAUCCCUAAGGCUUUCAUAAUUUCUUGCAUUAUUUCCUCAGUGAAAUGGCUACCUCUGUCACUUUCAAUCACUUCAGGUACUCCAUAUAUACAUACCAGUUCCUUCAGAAGCUUACUUGCUGUGACCUUCGUUGUGGCUUUCGACACUGGGUAGGCCUCAGGCCAACCUGAAAAGAGAUCAAUGCACACCAACACAUAUUCAUACACUCCUACCUUAGGUAGUUGAAUAUAGUCUAUCUGCAGUCUUUGAAACAGGUAAAGUGGCCUUGGUGUGUGCUUACUUGGUGUUUUGACAGCCUGUCCUGGAUUGUUUCUAGCACAAAUCAUGCAAGCAUGGGUGUGUUUAGCUGCUACAACAGUAAAUCUGGGUGCUAUCCAAUGGGUGUUUACUAUGCAGUUCAUGUGCAUCUUGGAUAGAUGUGUA